GUAGGGUGCGAGCGUUAAUCGGAAUUACUGGGCGUAAAGCGUGCGCAGGCGGUUCGCUAAGUCUGAUGUGAAAGCCCCGGGCUCAACCUGGGAAUGGCAUUGGAAACUGGCGGGCUUGAGUGUGGCAGAGGGGGGUGGAAUUCCACGUGUAGCAGUGAAAUGCGUAGAGAUGUGGAGGAACACCGAUGGCGAAGGCAGCCCCCUGGGCUAACACUGACGCUCAGGCACGAAAGCGUGGGGAGCAAACAGGAUUAGAUACCCUGGUAGUCCACGCCCUAAACUAUGUCAACUGGGUGUUGGGGAAGCGAUUCCUCAGUACCGUAGCUAACGCGUGAAGUUGACCGCCUGGGGAGUACGGCCGCAAGGUUA
rnacentral:rRNA from 1 species